CAGCUCGUGUCGUGAGAUGUUGGGUUAAAGUCCCGCAAACGAGCGCAACCCUUGAUCUUAGUUGCCAGCAUUCAGUUGGGCACUCUAAGGUGACUGCCGGUGACAAACCGGAGGAAGGUGGGGAUGACGUCAAAUCAUCAUGCCCCUUAUGACCUGGGCUACACACGUGCUACAAUGGACAGAACAAAGGGCAGCGAAACCGCGAGGUUAAGCCAAUCCCACAAAUCUGUUCUCAGUUCGGAUCGCAGUCUGCAACUCGACUGCGUGAAGCUGGAAUCGCUAGUAAUCGCGGAUCAGCAUGCCGCGGUGAAUACGUUCCCGGGCCUUGUACACACCGCCCGUCACACCACGAGAGUUUGUAACACCCGAAGUCGGUGAGUUAACCUUUUAGGAGCCAGCGUCNGGANAUGUCNUNANNAGAUAUCNU
rnacentral:rRNA from 1 species